rnacentral:rRNA from 1 species
CACGGCCCUCGCGCCGGCGCCGCCANCUUUCAAGUGUCUGCCUUAUCAGCUUUCGAUUGUAGGUUAUGCGCCUACAAUGGCUAUAACGGUAACGGGGAAGUCAGGGUUCGAUUCCGGAGAGGGAGCCUGAGAAACGGCUACCACAUCUAAGGAAGGCAGCAGGCACGCAAAUUACCCACUCCCGGCUCGGGGAGGUAGUGACGAAAAAUAACGAUGCGAGACUCUUUCCGAGGCCUCGCAAUCGGAAUGAGUACACUUUAAAUCCUUUUAACGAGGAUCUAUUGGAGGGCAAGUCUGGUGCCAGCAGCCGCGGUAAUUCCAGCUCCAAUAGCGUAUAUUAAAGUUGUUGCGGUUAAAAAGCUCGUAGUUGGAUCUCAGUUCCGGACCGACGGUUCGCCGCCCGGCGUCUACUGUCGGCUUCCGAACAGCCCGCGGCUCGCGCGGGGUGCUCUUCAUCGAGUCGUCCCGAGUGGCCGGCUACGUUUACUUUAGAAAAAUU